GGGGAGAGUAUUUAUGCAUUUCAUUGAUAUCAUAACUCUCAAGUGUAAUUUCUAUUGUUUCUUUCAAUCUGGACACAAAAACUGAUUUUUACAAUAUACUUCAUGCUUCUCUCACAGUACACUGAGUGCAUCCUGGAUAGCCGCAGUUAAAGAUAGAAAUUUGUGUAAAAAACAGCUUUAAAUGGUUCCAAAAUCCUUCCAUUACAUUAACAUUUACAGGAAAUGAGUUUUGUGAUUAUUGUGUGGCCUUGGACAAGUA
rnacentral:lncRNA from 1 species